rnacentral:rRNA from 1 species
AUGCAAGUCGAACGAAGUAGCAAUACUUAGUGGCAGACGGGUGAGUAAUAUGUAGGUAUCUUCCCAUUGGUGAGGAAUAACACGAGGAAACUUGUGCUAAUACCUCAUAAGUCUUUACGGAGAAAGCUUUAUGCGCCGAUGGAUGAGCCUGCACUUGAUUAGUUUGUUGGUAGGGUAAUGGCCUACCAAGACAAUGAUCAAUAGCUGAUUUGAGAGGAUGAUCAGCCACAUUGGGACUGAGACACGGCCCAAACUCCUACGGGAGGCAGCAGUAGGGAAUCUUGCACAAUGGGGGAAACCCUGAUGCAGCGAUGCCGCGUGAGUGAAGAAGGCCUUUGGGUUGUAAAGCUCUUUCGUCGGGGAAGAAAAUGACUGUACCCGAAUAAGAAGGUCCGGCUAACUUCGUGCCAGCAGCCGCGGUAAUACGAAGGGACCUAGCGUAGUUCGGAAUUACUGGGCUUAAAGAGUUCGUAGGUGGUUAAAAAAGUUGGUGGUGAAAUCCCAGAGCUUAACUCUGGAACUGCCAUCAAAACUUUUUAGCUAGAGUAUGAUAGAGGAAAGCAGAAUUUCUAGUGUAGAGGUGGAAUUCGUAGAUAUUAGAAAGAAUACCAAUUGCGAAGGCAGCUUUCUGGAUCAUUACUGACACUGAGGAGCGAAAGCAUGGGUAGCGAAGAGGAUUAGAUACCCUCGUAGUCCAUGCCGUAAACGAUGUGUGUUAGACGUUG